rnacentral:rRNA from 1 species
GGCUUGUUGAUUAUGAUUUCAAGUCUGACCUGCCCAAUGAUUUAUUUUAAUGGCCGCGGUAUAUUGACCGUGCAAAGGUAGCAUAAUCAUUAGUUUUUUAAUUGAAAGCUUGUAUGAAAGGUUUGAUGAAAAAGUUUCUGUCUCUAGAAAAAUUUAUUAGAAUUUUAUUUUUAAGUGAAAAAGCUUAAAUUUAUAUUGAAGACGAGAAGACCCUAUAGAGUUUUAUAUUUACACAAAUAACUGAGUUUUAAAGAAUUAAAAAAUUUAUUUUUAUGUAAAUAUUUAGUUGGGGUGAUGGAAAAAUUAAUUUAACUUUUUUUUAACAAAAACAUUUAUUUGUGAGUUUAUGAUCCUAAAAUUUAGAUUGAAAGAUUAAACUACCUUAGGGAUAACAGCGUAAUAUUUUUUAGAGUUCUUAUCGAAAAAAAAGAUUGCGACCUCGAUGUUGGAUUAAAAUUAAUUGUUGGUGAAGAAGCUAAUAGGUUAGGUCUGUUCGACCUUUAAAAUUUUACAUGAUCUGAGUUUAAACCGGUGUGAG